rnacentral:rRNA from 1 species
UACGAAGGGGCUAGCGUUGCUCGGAAUGACUGGGCGUAAAGGGCGCGUAGGCGGCUAGGUAGGUCCGUUGUGAAAACUCGAGCUCAACCUCGAGACGCCGGUGGAAACCUCUAGCUAGAGUCCGGAAGAGGAGAGUGGAAUUCCGUGGAUGUAGCGGUGAAAUGACGCAGAUAUCAGGAGGAACACCAAUUGCGAAGGCAGCUCGCUGGGACGUUACUGACGCUGAGACGCGAAAGCGUGGGGAGCAAACAGG